UACGUAGGUGGCAAGCGUUGUCCGGAAUACUGGCGUAAGACGUGCGCAGACGGUUGCGUAAGUCAGAUGUGAAAGCCCCGGGCUCAACCUGGGAAUUGCAUUUGAGACUGCGUAGCUAGGGUGCGGAAGAGGGAAGCGGAAUUUCCGGUGUAGCGGUGAAAUGCGUAGAUAUCGGAAGGAACACCAGUGGCGAAAGCGGCUUCCUGGUCCAGCACCGACGUUCAGGCACGAAAGCGUGGGAGCAAACAGG
rnacentral:rRNA from 1 species